rnacentral:rRNA from 1 species
UUGACGGGGGCCCGCACAAGCGGAGGAGCAUGUGGUUUAAUUCGAUGAUACGCGAGGAACCUUACCAAGGCUUAAAUGGGAAUUGACCGGUUUGGAAACAGACCUUUCGCAAGACAAUUUUCAAGGUGCUGCAUGGUUGUCGUCAGCUCGCGCCGUGAGGUGUCAGGUUAAGUCCUAUAACGAGCGCAACCCCUGUUGUUAGUUGCCAGCGAGUCAAGUCGGGAACUCUAGCAAGACUGCCAGUGCAAACUGCGAGGAAGGUGGGAUGACGUCAAAUCAUCACGGCCCUUACGCCUUGGGCUACACACGUGCUACAAUGGACGGUACAGAGAGCAGCCACUACGCAAGUAGGCGCGAAUCUUCAAAGCCGUUCUCAGUUCGGAUCGGAGUCUGCAACUCGACUCCGUGAAGCUGGAUUCGCUAGUAAUCGCAGAUCAGCCAUGCUGCGGUGAAUACGUUCCCGGGCCUU